GAUGAACGCUAGCGGCAGGCUUAACACAUGCAAGUCGAGGGGUAGAGGUUGCUUGCAACCUUGAGACCGGCGCACGGGUGCGUAACGCGUAUGCAACCUACCUUUUACAGAGGGAUAGCCCAGAGAAAUUUGGAUUAAUACCUCAUAGUAUAUAACCUUCGCAUGUUGGUUAUAUUAAAGUUCCAACGGUAAAAGAUGGGCAUGCGUCCUAUUAGCUAGUUGGUAAGGUAACGGCUUACCAUGGCUACGAUAGGUAGGGGUCCUGAGAGGGGGAUCCCCCACACUGGUAAUGAGAAACGGACCAGACUCCUACGGGAGGCAGCAGUGGGGAAUAUUGGACAAUGGGCGCAAGCCUGAUCCAGCCAUGCCGCGUGCAGGAAGACGGUCCUAUGGAUUGUAAACUGCUUUUGUACGGGAAGAAACACUCCUACGUGUAGGAGCUUGACGGUACCGUAAGAAUAAGGAUCGGCUAACUCCGUGCCAGCAGCCGCAGUAAGAC
rnacentral:rRNA from 1 species